AGAGUUUGAUCAUGGCUCAGAGCGAACGCUGGCGGCAGGCCUAACACACGCAAGUCGAGCGCCCCGCAAGGGGAGCGGCAGACGGGAGAGUAACACGUGGGAACGUACCCUUCAGUUCGGAACAACCAAGGGAAACUUUGGCUAAUACCGAAUACGUCCGUAAGGAGAAAGAUUUAUCGCUGAAGGAUCGGCCCGCGUCUGAUUAGCUAGUUGGUGAGGUAACGGCUCACCAAGGCGACGAUCAGUAGCUGGUCUGAGAGGAUGAUCAGCCUCACUGGGACUGAGACACGGCCCAGACUCCUACGGGAGGCAGCAGUGGGGAAUAUUGGACAAUGGCCGCAAGCCUGAUCCAGCCAUGCCGCGUGGAUGAUGAAGGCCCUAGGGUUGUAAAGUCCUUUCAGGGGGACGAUAAUG
rnacentral:rRNA from 1 species